CGAGAUAGGGGCACUCUUAGAUCUGGCCUCAUUGACCUGAGGAGCCCAUCGUAGCAGGUUCAGCCUUGGUCUCCUGUGGGCCUACUGUGUGCAGUCUGCUGGGGGCAGCCGGAAGUUACACAGCCUCUACCCUGUUCUCAAGAGCUCCUACUGGCUAGAGGAGGCAGGUGGGAGAGGAAGAUCUGAAUUGUUUUAAAGAUCUAAAUGAGAAGGCAGGGUCUCAGGGCGCAAGCUUCUGGGUUCUAGUUGCCGUUCUCCUUCUGCCUGUGGAACUGUGGCAAAUUGUAGGGUCUCUCUGAGCCUCAACUUUUCAGCUGUAAAACCAAGUCAGUCUGAUUCCAACCAGUUCUCACUCUUAUCUGCCCAUCAAGUUGAUAGGCCAAGAGAGCAGAUUCCAGGAACAGGACAGGUGGCUGAAGGUUGAAACUGGCCCCAUUGCAGCUUAGUAGUCCUAUGACUUCGGGUCUGUUACAUUCUUAAUUCCCCCAAGACUGGGUUUUGUCUUGUAAAGGAGAGGAACAGUUGACAGAUGCCCCCUACCUACCUGCUAUGAGGGAGGGUUUGGAUGUCAGUAACCACUAGCCCAAACUGGGGCUGGCCAAGGAGCCUCAAAACCAGCCGCAUGGGCAACGCCAGGUGGUAGGAGGGGGCUUAUUUUCUGCUGUGCAGGGCAUAGAACCCAGGGCCUUGCUUGAACUUGCUAGGGAAGCAUUUUACCACAGAGCCACACCCCAACACUUGAAACCUCUGUGGCUUCAAAUAUGCCAGUGUGGAGCACUGCCUUGCUUCAUGAAGAAAACGUCUGCUAAUAGUUGAAAUUAAUAGUGUAAACAGGAUCUGAGGAGGGUGGGUAGCCCGGGGAAAGGGGUUAUUUAAACACUUCAAAGAGAACACCCUUCUGCAGCAUCUACGCAGCAUGAUUUGCAUGUGUAAUAACUUUGCUAAUUAUAGGUGGCCUCAUCUGUUAACAAGUUUGCCUGGUUGUGCUGUGUUAUUGUAGUCACCCACUCAAAAUUCUCUGGCAUGCUUUCCGCCAAAGGUAACAAUGGUAGUCAUACCUAUCCUGUGUGAUCCAUGCUGCGUGCCAGGCAUCCUCCCAGCACCCAUCAGCCAUCAGCCAUGUCCUCUUCUCCACAGCUGUGUGCCCCAGAGGCUCCACCUUGUGUGUACCAAGAUGAGACUGGGGACCCAGAGGUUAGGUAGCUCUCUGAGCCCACACAACCAGGAGCCCAGAGGCUCGCUGGCGCCUUCUGCUCCGCGCAUUACCUCUUGGGGAUCCUUGGCGUAUGUCCUCAUUUGACUACCUCACAAGUCGUCCUUAUUUUGCUGAAGAGGAUGCUAAAACCCCAGGAAGGAGUCAGGUCUGGAUAGGAGAUGAGCCUAGACUCCCUCACUUCUAGGACAUAACCAGGCCUGCUGCACCCCCAUCACUCCUGCAGUUAGUGGUGGGGGCGGCAGCCUCCCCUGAAGUCUGAGGGACAUGAGGGCCAGGCCUGGCCUUUCAGCCUGAGAAAAUUAUAAGGCAAUAAACAAGUGGGAGGACACUAGCACUAAUCUACAUAUUGUGUCAUUAAAUUGGGGGUUGCCCACAGUGGCUCGUGGUGAGAUGUAACCCACAGACAGGUGGCGUUGAUCUGACUGGGUGGAAAGUUUUUUUUGUUUUGUUUUUUAACUUAUCUUGCUUU